rnacentral:rRNA from 1 species
UUUUAUGAGAGUUUGAUCCUGGCUCAGGACGAACGCUGGCGGCGUGCCUAAUACAUGCAAGUCGAACGCUUCUUUUUCCACCGGAGCUUGCUCCACCGGAAAAAGAGGAGUGGCGAACGGGUGAGUAACACGUGGGUAACCUGCCCAUCAGAAGGGGAUAACACUUGGAAACAGGUGCUAAUACCGUAUAACAAUCGAAACCGCAUGGUUUCGAUUUGAAAGGCGCUUUCGGGUGUCGCUGAUGGAUGGACCCGCGGUGCAUUAGCUAGUUGGUGAGGUAACGGCUCACCAAGGCGACGAUGCAUAGCCGACCUGAGAGGGUGAUCGGCCACAUUGGGACUGAGACACGGCCCAAACUCCUACGGGAGGCAGCAGUAGGGAAUCUUCGGCAAUGGACGAAAGUCUGACCGAGCAACGCCGCGUGAGUGAAGAAGGUUUUCGGAUCGUAAAACUCUGUUGUUAGAGAAGAACAAGGAUGAGAGUAACUGUUCAUCCCUUGACGGUAUCUAACCAGAAAGCCACGGCUAACUACGUGCCAGCAGCCGCGGUAAUACGUAGGUGGCAAGCGUUGUCCGGAUUUAUUGGGCGUAAAGCGAGCGCAGGCGGUUUCUUAAGUCUGAUGUGAAAGCCCCCGGCUCAACCGGGGAGGGUCAUUGGAAACUGGGAGACUUGAGUGCAGAAGAGGAGAGUGGAAUUCCAUGUGUAGCGGUGAAAUGCGUAGAUAUAUGGAGGAACACCAGUGGCGAAGGCGGCUCUCUGGUCUGUAACUGACGCUGAGGCUCGAAAGCGUGGGGAGCAAACAGGAUUAGAUACCCUGGUAGUCCACGCCGUAAACGAUGAGUGCUAAGUGUUGGAGGGUUUCCGCCCUUCAGUGCUGCAGCUAACGCAUUAAGCACUCCGCCUGGGGAGUACGACCGCAAGGUUGAAACUCAAAGGAAUUGACGGGGGCCCGCACAAGCGGUGGAGCAUGUGGUU